ensembl:lncRNA
GGAGGUGAUUGUUCCUCUGUACUCAGCCCUGGUGACGCUGCACCUUGAGCACUGUGUUCAGUUUUGGGCCUCUCACUACAAGAAAGAUACUGAGGCCCUGCGGUGUGUCCAGGUAAAAACAACGAAGCUGUGAGGGGUCUGGAGCCCACCUCUGAUGGGGAGCAGCUGAGGGAGCUGGGAUUGUUCAGUAUGGAGAAGAGAAGGCUCAGGGGAGACCUGAUCGCUCUCUAAAACUGCCUAAAAGGAGGUAGUGGUGAGGUGGGAGUUGGCCUCUUCUGCCACAUAACAGUGAUAGGAGAGGAAGGAAUGGCCUCAAGUUGUGCCGGGGAGGUUCAGGUUGGACAGUUCGAAAAACUUGUCUGAAAGAGUGGUCAGGCACUAGAGCAGGCUGCCCAGGGAGGUGGUUGAGUCACUGUCCCUGGAGGUGUUCAAAAAAUGUUUCAGUGUUGUACUAAGGAACAUGGUUUAGUGGGGAAGUACUGUUUUUAAGUGGAUGGUUGGACUAGAUGGCCUUGGAGGACUUUUCCAACCUUACUGAUUCUGUGAUUCACUGAUUUGUAUCUUCCUUGCACUGAAAAUAAUCUUGACAGUCAUCAUACUUUGUCUGACUAGCUUAAUGAAAGGGAUAAGAAGGUUCACUGAUAAUCCAGGCGACCAGAUUUAAUCAUAAUUGGAGCUAGCUAGGGUAUCUUUGCAGGCAAGACUGGGGCCAUCAGUAGCAGUGCUUUAUAUUCACUGAACAUUGUUUCUGGAUGAGUGUUUCCAGAUGAUAACAAAAUGGACUAUUUCUGUAUUCAGUUUUAUAAAGGCUUCCGUUUUUCUUAUUCUAGACUGAAUUGCAACUAGAUUCAUCCACAAUCAGCUACUUUAGUCAGGUCUUAUUAUUAAGAAUCACAAACCAGGUGCUAUUUUUGUGGCUUUAUAAUAUCCCCGAACUUGAGUAUGAACAGUUUGCCACUGCUAUUUCUGAAUUCACAUUCUGUACAUUUUAUGUUCCACACACCACAUUCUACCAGUUCUCAUUUCAGACAGGUUUCUGUCUCUGAGAAAACUCUGUUCACCAUAUGAACCACAAAC